rnacentral:misc_RNA from 1 species
ACUAAGCCAUGAAAUAUUGAUCAUAAAAAAGGAAGUAGUUGGCUUGAAACAUCAAUCUUUUCAUUUAAUGCAAUUCAUUACUCCGCCGUCUACCCCACCUUUCUCCUUUUUUCAUUCCUGGACCAUUUCAGAACGUCAAAAGAUUGAGGAAAGGAGGAGAUCAAAUCUCAUACGUGAGGUGCAGCUCAAAACUCGACAUGAAAAAUUGAAGAAAAACAGACAGUAUGCUGAAGCUACUUUGGAGAGAUUUAAGCGGAAUGAGGCAUUGGCCAAAAAGGAGCUGGCUCAUUCCGAAAUAUUGAUCAUAAAUAAAGGAAGUAGUCCAGGCUUGAAACACAAAUCUUUUCAUUUAAUGCAAUUCAUUACUCCACCGUCUCCCCCACCUUUCUUCUUUCUUCAUUCCUGGACCAUUUCAGAACGUCAAAGGAUUGAGGAAAGGGUGAGAUCAAAUCUCAUACGUGAGGUGCAGCUCAAAACUCGACAUGAAAAAUUGAAGAAAAAUAGACAGAAUGCUGAAGCUACUUUGGAGAGAUUUAAGCGGAAUGAGGCAUUGGCCAAAAAGGAGCUGGCCUCAUUCCGAAAUAUUGAUCAUAAAUAAAGGAAGUAGUCCAGGCUUGAAACAUCAAUCUUUUCAUUUAAUGCAAUUCAUUACUCCGCCGUCUUCCCCACCUUUCUUCAUUCCUGGACCAUUUCAGAACGUCAAAGGAUUGAGGAAAGGAGGAGAUCAAAUCUCAUACGUGAGGUGCAGCUCAAAACUCGACAUGAAAAAUUGAAGGAAAACAGACAGUAUGCUGAAGCUACUUUGGAGAGAUUUAAGCGGAAUGAGGCAUUGGUCAAACAGGAGCUGGCCUCAUUCCGCUCCAAAAUGUGCAAAGAUGAGGCUGAGGCUAAAAGGAUGUUUGGCGAUGCUGUUAAGUUGUUUGAUUUGUUUGAUUUGUUUUUUUCAAUUUUUUCUAUUUAUGUUUGUUUUUGUGUAUUUUGUUGGUUGUUCCUGUUAUCACUGUUUAUUUGUAAUCCAUAAAACAAUGAUACGUAGAAUGCAGCUUAAACUUAAAUAUAAGAAAAUGAAGAGAACAGUAAGUUCUAGUAAACAACAUGCUCAAGCAAGUUUGGAGAAAUUUUUGCGGAAUGAGGCAUUGGCCAAAAAGGAACUUGCCUCAUUCCACUCACAAAUGUUUAAUAAGGAUGAAGCGGAAGCAGUACGGAUAUUAAGCACCAUACACAUUUUUUUAUUCUAUUAAUAUUUUUCUUUUUCUUGUGUUUGUGGUUAUCCUGAUGUUUUUUUUUGUUAUUGGUUUUUUACGUAAUCUGAUUCAACUGGCAUUGCCAACAUUGUAAAUAUAGACAUUGGUGAAGAUUA